UUACUCCCAAAAAAGCCCAAUUUUAUGCCUUUUGAUCCUGCUGCCAGGGGCGAAGCCAGCUUAGGAUGAACUUCUGGUGCUCUCUGCGUCUGAUUAUGGUGCCCGCACUGACAAUUUCUUCAACUGGUGCUCUCUGAGUUUGAUUAUGGUGUUUUUCUUUUUUAAAGCUGAAGCCCACACGUCGGCAUAUGGCAAUGAGUGAAAAAGCCCAACAAAUGCCCAAUAAGGUAAUACUAUCAACCAAUAUUCAAACCCAAUUUUCAAUUUCAACCCAUUCGUAAUUCAUUCAUCAUUCUUCCAUACUCCACCCGUGUCCGCCGACCUCCCGCUUCCGAGUCUCUGACUUUUAUCUGUCACCUUCAACGUUGAACUUCUCAAUCGAGGCAGUCGGCAGACCUUCGAGCCCUAGACGCAGGUCACGCACGCAGCAGCAGCACCUUUGAAAUAGAGUCCUUGAACUUCUCAAGAUGCGGCAGCCAGUAGCAGACCCUUAGUCCUUGACCUUCGAUUCGUGACGCCAUCAUAGGCACAUCAAAAGAAGAAGGUGAGCCCCCUGAUUUUGAUUCCUGAACUCUAAAGCCUACUCAAGUUUUUGUUUAGUUUUUAUCUGUUGACAGUUAUUUGCUUAUUUUGAUUUAUGUAGUUGUAAUUGUUUCUUUUUAACAUAUGAAAUUACUUUUGAAAUGCUUGAAGUCUUGAAUUGCUUUUGAAUGCUCUUGAAAUUAGACCUAGGAGCCUCAGGCUGUGAAACCCUUGAACCUCAUUGACUGAUUCGGUGAUUACUGAAGCAUACUGCCAGCCCACUCAAGUCUCAAUGUUAAUGGACUCGCUACUCCGUGACUGUGAGUUCACUUACUUUGUGACUGGAGCUUGAUUCCAAUUCCAUGUUGCUAAAAUGCUAAAUUGCUAAUGCUGCCUCUCUGUGACUGUAAAAUCAUUUUGUGACUGUGAGUUGCUAAUCAUUCAUGACUAAAAACUUGAUGGUGUGGACAAAAUUGUGCCCGCACUGAAAAAGAAUCCUGGCUCCGCCCCUACCUGCUGCCCCCGCUCUUUUCUAUGGUUGUUUAUAUAAAUUUUUUUGCUUUCUUUUCUCUUUAGUUGGCGCGUAUGUAAAUAUCCUUCCACAGUCGCAAACUUGUAUUGUUAAUUCCCAUAUGUAUUCCAACUACCAUUGAAUUCCAGCCCAAGUACAAGUCAUGUUGAGGCGCAUUUAUACCUUAUUUUUCUCCAAGUCCUCAAUUAUUUUAAAAUCAUACAAUUUAAUCCUUGAACCCGAUUAAUUAUGCAACCAAUGUCUUUCUUUAGUUCAAUUAAAGUACUUAAACUUUCAAAGUAUAGAAUUUGAUCCCAAACUUUAUGGGUUGCAUCACAUUUUGAAAUCACUGAAUGCAUUGUCUAAGAGCCAUGAAAAAAAUUUGAAGCAAUUUUCGUCCUCUGUUUUAAUAAAAAAUGUCGAGUCAUGAUUAGCUUUCCCCAUGUUAUGGUAAUGCCUAGCCAAUUUAGCAUAACUUUCCUCGGUCGAACCCAUUAAAUCUUCCAACGUGCAUUCUUUGGCUUUCUAGGCAUUCUGGUAGCUCAUGAUCACUCUGUACUGUCGAUGAAUGUCAUUAAUGAUGUUCGGAAGUUUGUAAAUCGUUCGUGGGUCCUGAUAUUUUUACAUUAUUUGUCGACCAAUAAAUCAUGCUCAAGUUUGUCUGUGAUUGUUUCGACGACUUCCCACUUCACAAGUAUAUUCCCAUAUAUACUUGUGAACCACAAAUAACUCAUUUGUGUCAAUCUUAGUCCCUCGCAAGCGCUAACGGAAACUGUCGUUGACGCAAACAAUUGUCAACAAUUACUCGUUCUAUUUCUUUAUCUUGAACCCAAAGUUGUAUUUUAAUGUUAUCCGGUGCACAACUUUCUACAAAUUUUUCUUUGUUUCAAAUGGUUGCUCGACAUGCAAAUCCUCAUCGUCAAGAACCACAAGCAAAGAAUUAGAGGACGGUCCACUCAAUCCAGCAUAUGAGCUCCCACUUCGCUCAUGUCUGUGACGGUAUAAAACAAUCAAAACCUCAUUUGCAAAUUCAUUUUCAUUCUUGUUGUCGUGAACUACUUACGAAAUUCUGUGCGUAAUAGCUAGAUCAUGAUGAGGAGCAACUGCCUUAGAAAUAACCACAUCAUCAUCGUGAGUUAUCUCCAUUGUGUCCCAAAAUUCAUUGACAUUAUCAUUCGCUCCAUCCGAAUUUUCAUGUUCACUUUUAGCGAUAUCCUUCCCCAUUAAAGUCAAAAAUAGAAAAGUCGUGUGCAUUUUGUUCAAUUCAAGUAUCAGAAGUAACUUUCAUAGAUGGAAUCAGAAUGGACGAAUGUUCAGCAUCAGAAGUAACCUUCCAACAUACGAUGUACUCUCUGAUAUGUAAAUUGGAAUACUACCACAUAGAUCACUCGUCCAUUUCUAUACACAUCGAUAUUUUUCAUCCAAUUCGAAAUCAUAAAAGUAACAAAUUGGAAUUACAACUAUAUCUGUAUCAUGUAACAAACUUUUUAAUUAUAAGGAAAAUUAGUCAGAAAUUUGGAUCA
rnacentral:lncRNA from 1 species